ACCACCAGAGCAAUAGUAAAAGCCACAUAUAAUGGUGAUUGACCUCUUUUCUUAUUCUUAGUUUCGAAUUAAUGGAAUUUUAAAAUAAAUAUCCUUUUUUCUUAUGUUUCUUUAUCUUUCUUUUUAGACUUAUUUAAAUUUCCAUCUUCAUAUUCAAAAUUUGAUUUCUAUCGAAUUGACAUUUAUUCUUGUCUGAUGUUUUUUAUUAUGAUUUAUUAUUAUUUAUGGUUGGUAUCUUUUCCAUUUUCAAAUUGUAAUUUAUUAUUGAUCUAUGAGUUUUAAUACUUUUCUAUACUCUGCGCCUAAACUAUGAUUUUUCCUUUUAAGUAAGACAUAAAAUGUCAUUGUGUAUUAUUAAUUUAUUUAAUGAACUAAUUUGUUGCUUAUGAGUAAAAAUCCAGAGGGCUAAUACUUGCUAGUAUUAUAUAUUUCCAACUUCAAUAUGCUGGUCAUGCUGCUGAUUGUAGGCACUAGAUGUUGCUGAUCAUGUUAUUGGGAUGUACUGCUUUAUCAUGCGGGUAAGAUUCGGUAGACUUAAAGUGUAUCAUUUUGAUGUCAUGCCUGUAACAUUUAAGUUUUAUAUUUUCUCAAUACUAAUAAAUUGUUUAUAAAUUUGAAGGAAAACACGAGAAGGUAAUUAAUUGGUUGAUUUCGAUACUUUAUUUGAUUUUUUUUUAAUUUAUAUUCUGUAACCAUUUGAAUGAAAAGGAAUGGUACAAUACCUCUUAAAAAGUUCAUGACAAAAUCAGUGACUUUACUACAUGAAAUCUCUAGAUUUGUCAAGCUUCCAUGUUCUAGAAUCAAAUUGAAUCAAAUAGAUGUAUAAUUAGUUACUAAAACACGCGUCUAAUAAAACAUUUUCUAGAUUCUCACUUGAGGAAAUUCAACUUUACUUGGGAGAAACAUGUGUUGAUUCUUAAAAUGGAGUUAAUUACCUAAAUAUGAGCUAUUCAGUAGUGAAAAUGAAAAUACACUGACGACAUUGAUGAAAAUUCUGAUAAUUUAACUUAGGUGAACUUUUGAGCUAUUGUGACCAAUAGGAUAUAAGAUGCAACAAACAUGAUAGAGGAUUCAUAUCGGAAUCUAUUAUGCAAUUAUAUCACUUCAUAUUGAGAGAUUCCAACUUUGAACUUUUGAGCUAUUGUGACCAAUAGGAUAUAAGAUGCAACAAACAUGAUAGAGGAUUCAUAUCGGAAUCUAUUAUGCAAUUAUAUCACUUCAUAUUGAGAGAUUCCAACUUAAAUAAAACCAAUGGCCUUUUGCUCUACAUUUCAUUUUCAUGUCGUGUGUCACGACACCAGUGGUUUGUAAAAUUAUUUGGUUGAAAUUUCCAUUUACUUCACUUCUAUUUUUAAAAAAUAAUGAUUCCCUCUCUUCCCUCUCUAUGCUUUCACAACUUCAUUUUCACUCUCUCCCCUAUCAAGACUAUAUUCUGAUCUAUAGCUUCCACAACAACUUGCUUCUUCUCCACCUCCUCUAAGUGCAUCCCUUACCUUGAUUCUUUCAUUUAUAGAAUUAUUCUUAUUUUCGCUUUGAUUUGUCCUCUCUUUUAUAGCUUCAAAUAAGAUUUUGGAUCACAAUAAGUUCUCAUUUUUUUACGUCUCUGAUCGAAAAUCGAAGUAAAAAGGAAGCAUUACGAGCAUAACACACAACCUGCAAAAUAUAUAUGAAGAAGACAAUCAAUGUCUAAAUGGAAUGAAGAGGGAAGAGCAUAUAAAUAUUCAUGAAUUGUGAGAUAAAAUUAGAACUAGGGAUUAUAUAAAUUUACUCAGAUCUUCCAUUUUCAACAUAAUACUUUACUAAUUAUUUUUCUACAAAGCCAGGUACAAUUAAUGAAAGGCUGUUAGUGUUCCUCAGAUACAAGAAAUGAUGAGCAAGUUGGAAAUAAAUUUUACAUGAUUCUUUCCCAAAUCCUUUACUACUAUUUUUGUCUUUCUUUUUUAUUUUUCCCCUUUCUUUUAUUUCUUCUUUCCCUUAUUUAUUUGUUUAUUUAUAUUGUUAUAGAGUAGUCAAGUCAUUUCCAUGAAUUUUUUAUUAUUAUGGAUUAGAAAACUAAAACUGAUAUUAAAACCACCAGAGCAAUAGUAAAAGCCACAUAUAAUGGUAAUUGACCUCUUUUCUUAUUCUUAGUUUCGAAUUAAUGGAAUUUUAAAAUAAAUAUCCUUUUUUCUUAUGUUUUUUUAUCUUUCUUUUUAGACUUAUUUAAAUUUCCAUCUUCAUAUUCAAAAUUUGAUUUCUAUGGAAUUGACAUUUAUUCUUGUCUGAUGUUUUUUAUUAUGAUUUAUUAUUAUUUAUGGUUGGUAUCUUUUCCAUUUCCAAAUUCUAAUUUAUUAUUGAUCUAUGAGUUUUAAUACUUUUCUAUACUCUGCGCCUAAACUAUGAUUUUUCCUUUUAAGUAAGACAUAAAUUGUCAUUGUGUAUUAUUAAUUUAUUUAAUGAACUAAUUUGUUGCUUAUGAGUAAAAAUCAGGAGGGCUAAUACUUGCUACUAUUAUAUAUUUACAACUUCAAUAUGUUGGUCAUGCUGCUGAUUGUAGGCACUAGAUGUUGCUGAUCAUGUUAUUGGGAUGUACUGCUUUAUCAUGCGGGUAAGAUUCGGUAGACUUAAAGUGUAUCAUUUUGAUGUCAUGCCUGUAACAUUUAUGGCACUAGAUGUUGCUGAUCAUGUUAUUGGGAUGUACUGCUUUAUCAUGCGGGUAAGAUUCGGUAGACUUAAAGUGUAUCAUUUUGAUGUCAUGCCUGUAACAUUUAAGUUUUAUAUUUUCUCAAUAUUAAUAAAUUGUUUAUAAAUUUGAAGGAAAACACGAGAAGGUAAUUAAUUGGUUGAUUUCGAUACUUUAUUUGAUUUUUUUUUUAAUUUAUAUUCUGUAACCAUUUGGGUGAAAAGAAAAGGUACAAUACCUCUUAAAAAGUUCAUGACAAAAUCAGUGACUUUACUACAUGAAAUCUGUAGAUUUGUCAAGCUUCCAAGUUCUAGAAUCAAAUUGAAUCAAAUAGAUGUAUAAUUAGUUACUAAAACACGCGUCUAAUAAAACAUUUUCUAGAUUUUCUCUUGAGGAAAUUCAACUUUACUUGGGAGAAAUGUGUGUUGGUUCUUAAAAUAAAGUUAAUAACCUGAAUAUGAGCUAUUCAGUAGUGAAAAUGAAAAUACACUGACGACAUUGAUGAAAAUUCUGACAAUUUAACUUAGGUGAACUUUUGAGCUAUUGUGACCAAUAGGAUAUAAGAUGCAACANAAUGUAUAUUUUCUCAAUACUAAUAAAUUAUUUAUAAAUUUGAAGGAAAACACGAGAAGGUAAUUGAUUUGUUGAUUUCGAUACUUUAUUUGAUUUUUUUUUUGUAUUUAUAUUUUGUAACCAUUUGGAUGAAAAGGAAAUGCAGAAUACCUAUUAAAAAAUUGAUGACAAAAUCAGUGACUUUACUAGAUGAAAUCUCUAGAUUUGUCAAGCUUCCAAGUUCUGGAAUAAAGUUGAAUCAAAGAGAUGUAUAAUUAGUUACUAAACUACGCGUCUAAUAAAACAUUUUGUAGAUUUUCACUUAAGGAAAUUCAACUUUACUUGGGAGAAACGUGUGUUGGUUCUUAAAAUGAAGAAGUCAAUAAUCUGAAUAUGAAAUAUUCAGCCGUGAAAAUGAAAAUACAAUGACGACAUUGAUGAAAAUUCUGACAAUUUAACAUAGGUGAACUUUUGAGCUAUUGUGACCAAUAGGAUAUAUGAUGCAACAAACAUGAUAGAGGAUUCAUAUCGAAAUAUAUUAUGCAAUUAUAUCACUUCAUAUUGAGAGAUUCCAACUUAAAUAAAACCAAUACCCUUUUGCUCUACAUUUCAUUUUCACGUCGUAUGUCACGACACCAGUGAUUCGUAAAAUUAUUUGGUGAAGUUUCCAUUUACCUCACUUCUAUUUUUAAAAAAUCCCGAUUCUCUCUCUUCCCUCUCUAUACUUUCACAACAUCAUUUUCACUCUUUCCCCUAUCAAGACUCUAUACUCAUCUAAAGCUUCAACAACAAUUUGCUUCUUCUCCAUCUCCUGUAAGUGCAUCCCUUACCCUGAUUCUAUCAUUUAUAGAAUUACGCUCCCUUUCGCUUUGAUUUGUUCUUUCUUUUAAAGCUUCAAAUAUUAUUUUGGAUCACAAUAACUUCUCGUUUUUUUACGUCUCUGAUCGAAAAUCAAAGUAAAAAGGAAGCAUUACGAACAUAACACACAACCUACAAAAUAUAUAUGAAGAAGGCAAUCAAUGUCUAAAUGGAAUGAAGAGGGAAGAGCAUAUAAAUAUUCAUGAAUUGUGAGAUAAAAUCAGAACUAGGGAUUUUAUAAAUUUAAUCAGAUCUUCUAUUUUCAACAUAAAACUUUACUAAUUCUUUUUCAUGAUUCUUUCCCAUACCAUUUACUACUGUUUUUGUCUUUAUUUUUUAUUUUUCCCCUUUCUUUUAUUUCUUCUUUCCCUUAUUUAUUUGUUUAUUUAUAUUGUUGAAGAGUAGUAAGUCAUUUCCAUGAUUUUUUUUAUUAUGGAUUAGAAAACUAAAACCGAUAUUAUAACCACCAUUGCAAUAGUAAAAGCCACAUAUAAUGGUGAUUGACCUCUUUUCUUAUUCUUAGUUUCGAAUCCAUGGAAUUUUAAAAUAAAUAUCCUUUUUUCUUUUGUAUUUUUUAUCUUUCUUUUUAGACUUAUUUAAAUUUCCACUUCAUAUUCAAAAUUUGAUAUCUAUCGAAUUGACAUUUAUUCUUAUCUGAUGCUUCUUAUUAUGAUUUAUUAUUAUUUAUGGUUGGUAUCUUUUCCAUUUUCAAAUUCUAAUUUAUUACUGAUCUAUGAGUUUUAAUACUUUUCUAUACUCUGCGCCUAAACUAUGAUUUUUCCUUUUAAGUAAGACAUAAAAUGUCAUUGUGUAUUAUUAAUUUAUUUAAUGAACUAAUUUGUUGCUUAUGAGUAUAUGAGUUUUAAUACUUUUCUAUACUCUGCGCCUAAACUAUGAUUUUUCCUUUUAAGUAAGACAUAAAAUGUCAUUGUGUAUUAUUAAUUUAUUUAAUGAACUAAUUUGUUGCUUAUGAGUAAAAAUCAGGACGGCUAAUACUUGCUAGUAUUAUAUAUUUCCAACUUCAAUAUGCUGGUCAUGCAGCUGAUUGUAGAGACUAGAUGUUGCAGAUCAUGUUAUUGGGAUGUACUGAUUUAUCAUGCGGGUAAGAUUCGGUAGACUUAAAGUGUAUCAUUUUGAUGUCAUGCAUGUAACAUUUAAGUUUUAUAUUUUCUCAAUACUAAUAAAUUGUUUAUAAAUUUGAAGGAAAACACGAGAAGGUAAUUAAUUGGUAGAUUUAGAUACUUUAUUUGAUUUUUUUAAUUUAUAUUCUGUAACCAUUUGGAUGAAAAGGAAAGGUACAAUACCUCUUAAAAAGUUCAAGACAAAAUCAGUGACUUUACUACAUGAAAUCUCUAGAUUUGUCAAGCUUCCAAGUUCUAGAAUCAAAUUGAAUCAAAUAGAUGUAUAAUUAGUUACUAAAACACACGUCUAAUAAAACAUUUUGUAGACUUUCACUUGAGGAAAUUCAACUUUACUUGGGAGAAACGUGUGUUGGUUCUUAAAAUGAAGUUAAUAACCUGAAUAUGAGCUAUUCAGUAGUGAAAAUGAAAAUACACCGACGACAUUGAUAAAAAUUCUGACAAUUUAACUUAGGUGAACUUUUGAGCUAUCGUGACCAAUAGGAUAUAAGAUGCAACAAACAUGAUAGAGGAUUUAUAUCGAAAUCUAUUAUGCAAUUAUAUCACUUCAUAUUGAGAGAUUCCAACUUAAAUAAAACCAAUGCCAUUUUGCUCUACAUUUCAUUUUCAUGUCGCGUGUCACGACACAAGUGGUUCGUAAAAUUAUUUGGUUGAAAUUUCCAUUUACCUCACUUCUAUUUUUAAAAAAUCCCGAUUCCCUCUCUUCCCUCUCUAUGCUUUCACAACUUCAUUUUCACUCUCUCCCCUAUCAAGACUCUAUUCUGAUCUAAAGCUUCCACAACAACUUGCUUCUUCUCCACCUCCUCUAAGUGCAUCCCUUACCUUGAUUCUUUCAUUUAUAGAAUUAUGCUUAUUUUCGUUUUGAUUUGUUCUUUCGUUUAAAACUUCAAAUAUGAUUUUGGAUCACAAUAAGUUCUCAUUUUUUUACGUCUCUGAUCGAAAAUCGAAGUAAAAAGGAAGCAUUACGAACAUAACACACAACCUACAAAAUAUAUAUGAAGAAGACAAUCAAUGUCUAAAUGGAAUGAAGAGGAAAGAGCAUAUAAAUAUUCAUGAAUUGUGAGAUAAAAUUAGAACUAGGGAUUUUAUAAAUUUACUCAGAUCUUCCAUUUUCAACAUAAUACUUUACUAAUUAUUUUUCUACAAAGCCAGGUACAAUUAAUGAAAGGCUGUUAGUGUUCCUCGGAUACAAGAAAUGAUGAGCAAUUGGAAAUAAAUUUUACAUGAUUCUUUUCCAAAUCCUUUCCUACUGUUUUUGUCUUUUUUUUUCCCUUUUCUUUUAUUUCUUCUUUCCCUUAUUUAUUUGUUUAUUUAUAUUGUUAUAGAGUAGUCAAGUCAUUUCCAUGAUUUUUUUUUAUUAUGGAUUAGAAAACUAAAACAGAUAUUAUAACCACCAGAGCAAUAGUAAAAGCCACAUAUAAUGGUGAUUGACCUUUUUUCUUAUUUUUAGUUUCGAAUCAAUGGAAUUUAAAAAUAAAUAUCCUUUUUUCUUAUGUUUCAUUUAUCUUUCUUUUUAGACUUAUUUAAAUUUCCAUCUUCAUAUUCAAAAUUUGAUUUCUAUCGAAUUGACAUUUAUUCUUGUUUGAUGUUUUUU
rnacentral:lncRNA from 1 species